rnacentral:tRNA from 1 species
GGGCGUGUGGUCUAACCCGGUAUGGCGCUCGGCUGGCAGCCGAGAAACUGCGAGUUCAAAUCUCGCCACGUCCA